UAACAUGGGAGGAGGGAAGCAGACAAAGGGGAAGCCAGCCAGCAACUGCAGAAAUGUGAGAGCAGCUGCUAUGCAGCAUGUUCCUCUCUCACCUGAGCUUGUGAGGGAGCAAGAAAUAUCUUGCUGCAGACCAUUUUGCUCCAUUCUGAGUGGACAGACAGCUCUUGUGCGCUAAGAUGAUCUCCAGUUUCUCUUUCUACCGCAAUAACAGAGCAAGUGACCGAGCCACAGUUCUCCACAGAGCUCCAGCCGGGGCAGUGCAGCUGUGCACAGCCACCUAUAUGGGACACCGAGCUCGGCCUAGCCCUAAAUUCUGGAUGUGACAAUGAAUUGGGAGAUGGGAAGAGAGACAUAGACAGUAGCAAGAGGGGAGUGGAAGCAUGAGAGCUACUGUGAUAGCUUUACAUGGGCACUCAGUUUAGACCUGCGCCCCUCAGGAGAGUUCAGUCAGGUCGGUUGCUGGGAGCUGUUCGGUUGCACAAUGAGAUCUGCCUGGUGUGGAACUGCUACCCGCUGUAUUCAUGGAGCUGCACACAGUGCCCAUCCUUGUAACUUCACACCAACCACCACAUCAAAAACACUUCGGAGAAAUUCACCAAAAAACCUUCAAACACCAAAAAUUCAACGACUGAACUUCACAGUCAAAGUUGCCCCUCCCUUAUGCCCCCUGAGGUAUUUCAAGGAAGCUAUGGGUAUGCUAAAAAGUGCUAAUGGCUGGCCUCACGGGGGAUUUGGAUCCAAGGACAGUCAUAGACUUCAUCAAAGCAAAUGGACGUGCCAACCACUCUCCUGUAGGCUCAGCAGGAGGAGCAAUCAUGCACCUUUAUAUAGUAAAAACAACUGAAGUCAAUGGGGGCUACUGCCCAGGGCAAGAGGCCAUAUGGGCAGGACGGAGCUGUUCCCUGGUUACAAAUGCAGGGGGUAGGAUAGGGGUAGCAGGCGGCGUGUACAGAAGGAAACAAGUCAAAAGGAGUUAUGAGCUGACCCUGAGAGCAAGCAGAGACACUGGUCUUCUUGGGCACACAGUUCGCUGGAGGGGCUGACUUGGGGCCUUUCUGAGCAAGGAAACUGCCUGCUGUUGUUUGUUUCUAGUGUGCGCAGGGAAGCAGGACUUGUGGGUCACAAAAAUAUUUGCAGCAAUAUAACUGAUUUUUAUGGCUGGAUGCCUCAUCCUAAAGGAAAAAACCUUGCAAGGCCAGGAAAUUUGGCUAAAUGCUUAGGCCAAAAGAGCAACAAUGUGAAAACAUCCACCUUUUCCUAGAUAUAUUCAGGGCCAGAUUCUCACCCACGUUGGGUAGUACCUUGCUCUGCAAGUAGUUCUAUUGUUUUCAAUAGGGCUACCUGCUGAGUAAAGUACUACCCAGCGCACGUGAGGCAGAAAGGACUAGACUGUGCCACCCCAACUCACAAUGGUGAAUCACCCCAGCUUGUGCUCACCAGUGUGAUUACAGGACACAAUCUAGCCUUUGGAGAAUAUUUCGCCAUGUUAAGAGUCAGCUCAUACUGUCCAAUUUUGUUGUGCCCUUAGUAGAGGGCUCUCUGAGAAACUUGUUUUGGAGCGGCUUUCUGCAAUUUAGAGAGAAAUAUUAUUAGAGGGGAAAUUGGUUUGUAAACCUAAAGAACUUCGGAACUGAUUUGGUGAAAAACAAUUCAACAAUCAGGCAGCAAGGGAGUGUUUAACUCCUGAGCAUAGGAAGAGAAGACCACGCUAGAACACAGAGCUAAUGUAACCUUAGAGACACAUGACAGUGUCUCACCUAAAGCAGUCUCCCCGAGUCAGUAGCCCACAUGCCAGGAUCCAACUUUCAUGACUGCAAAAAUGUCCUUUUUGCUUCCUCAGUGAAGGAAAACAAAAUGUCUUUUCGUUUCUCCUUAUAUUUCCCCCAAUUCAUUGUUUUGACCCCAGAGCCAGGAUGGCACCCUGUUGUUUGUUCUCCAGUGUGCUGUCUUCAAAUCCUCCUGUUGCCCUGAAAUGCUAAUAUAGUCCCCAUUGUAUUUGGCUGAAUUGCUUAUUCUGCAUAGGAACCUAGGUAGACAUGAGAAUAUACAUCCCUUGGUCUGGCAAUACCAGUUUUUUCCACUUGUGCUGGGGAGUAACACCUUGAUGCAAGCUAUAAGGACGUAUUUUUCAGUACAGAGACAGAACUUUUUAAAUAUAACAUUUCACAGUGAUAUUAAGGACCAGCAUGAUUUUGGCUUUCAUUUAAGAUCUCACUAUGGUACCAAAGUGUUCAGUGUAAUGAGUUUGUCAGGCUUGGCACAAGCAGCUGUGACAGUACAGUGAACCUUUUGCCAGUUGGCAGUGAGGGAUUAUUAAAUCACAAUUACAUCAAAGGACAAUGGCUUCACAGUAGAAUCAGAUGCCCCACUCCACAGAGCCCAAGGACAGGAGCUAAUACAUCUUUAAUUUGGACAUGAUGUUUAAAAUAGUGAUUAAGGAGCUAGCCAAUACAUCAAACUUCUCAUAGUCCUCCCAGGAGAGUGGGAUUUAGAAGGUGGCUGAAGGAUUUAUCUAGUUACAAAGCUGUUUCUUAACCCUGUUCCUAGGAGUUCUGACUGAAGAGGGGCAAAGUUCAAUAGGGCUUUAGUGAAUGAACCUUGAAUGAUUCUUAUAACCUUUCUAUCACAGGGUUUACAUGUUUUGGACAUGUUAAAACAAUUUAAUAUAGCUGCAUUUAAGUUAACGCUAUUUUUUUCUUUCCUAAGGUCCAGACUCUGAUAUGCUUUCAGAAGCUGAGUAGCAUCAUACACCAAGAGUAGUUAGUGGAACUGCUCUAGAGUAAGGUGUUACUCAACUUAAGUAAGAGAGGCAGAGUCUGGCUUUGUAUAUUUUUCUUAUGGGCUAGGCAAAUGUUUGUGAAUAUAAGAACAUAAGAACAGCCACACAGGGUCAGACCAAUGGUCCCAAUAUCCUGUCU